CUAUUUCACUGCUGCUCUGCGGAAAGUAGCUCUGUCCCCCAACUCUCUACAGCAAUAUUCCCUUGAACACAAAUCAAAAGAGUCUUACAGUAGCAACAAAUGAAGAGCAAAGGUGAACAAUACUGAAGGGCACCAAGAAGUUGCAUGCCAUUUACCAGUUUUACAUUUACUAUGGAAUAAAUUACCUCCUCUUGUCAAAACAACUCGUCCUCCUUAAAAUGCUUACAAUUUAAAUUUCUGACAUUUAAGAAGCCAGCACUGUUUAAAAUAAGGAAGUGGGAGUGUAAAUCCCCAGUAUAUGCCUGUUUGAAUGUACACUUCAUUCUGAUUUUUUACUGAUUCAUAGUGAAAUCCUCAGCCCAGCAGAAGGGGAACUAGAUUUUGAGGCAGAAAAGAGCACUUCAGUGCUUUGCUAUUGACAUGAGAAGAAAGAGGAGGCGGUGUAAGAGGAACUAAGAAAUCUUGGUCAUUCGCCUACUGAAUAUUUAGGAAGCCACAGCUCUGAAAUCCCUGUUCAUGGCAUCCGGAUAAGAAUGAAAUACAUGAUGUUCAGAGUUUAACACAGCAAGUAGUACUAGAGGGCUGCUGGAGCAGUGGAGAAAUUGAUUUCAAGCCCUCAGCAGUGCACACCUCUUGCAUUAAGUAGCAGCUACACAUAAAAUCAAGAGGCAGCCCCUGCCUCAAAGAGCUUACAAAGCACAGCUAACGUGCAACCACCAAAUGGGGAAGUAUUAAGAGAAAAAAAUGGGAACAUUCACAAGGUCUUCUGGUUCAAGUUCAAGGUUGUCCUCAGCCCGCGUGGGCUGCAACUGAAGCCUGGAUCGCUUUAUUGCCUGGCAGUGGAAGUGAGAAACAAGCAGCCCAAACACUGAAGGAAGCCCAGCUGCAAGGUCACAGCAGCCCAGCUGCUACCAGGACUUCUCGGGCUAGGAGCACACAGAAGGGAUCUCACUGAGAACUGGGUCUGUUCCAGGUAGGAGAGGAUAUUGGCAAAGGGACCACCUGCUGCGGAAGUACCAGAGGUGCUUCCAAAGUGUGAGGGGCAACAUACAAGGAAGCCCUCCAACAGCAUUUGGAGACGAGCUGCACUGCAACCUAAGCAGAAUGGACAUGGAGACGGGGAUCCCAGCCCAGUACCUGGCCAGUGAACCUGCAAGAGCAGCUUCUGGGGGUACUCAAAUGGAGGAAAAAAAUCAGAAGCAUGACAGACGAGACCCUCUAACAAAGUGUAACAGAGCUACACUCUGUAGAGAUGCUCCAAGAUGCUCUUCAGACAAGAGCUGACUGAAUAAAGAUGGGCCCGCUGCACAUGUUGUGCAUGAAGACAGGUUCUUAAAUUAUGAAUAAUGGACACAAGAUGCAAACAGCACAGCAUCCCAGAGGAGAUGAGAAAUAUUUAAAAUGCCAAGAAAACAAACAAGAAAACCCAAAACACCCUCUUCCCUUGUGAAGCUAGAAACAAACUUCACAAUAAGCAGCCAGAAUUUGUCAGUAGCUCUAAAGAAAAUAGAGAUGCUGAACAUGAAUAAGUGUUUGUGCCAGCCCAGCUCCUGGAAGCACCAGCAGCAGCACAUUUCAGCAGACUUGCUGCUCCUAACGUCAGGAGGAGGUGUGAUGGAAGCACAGUCAAAGCCAGACAGUUUUGGCUAAUACAACCGAUCAGCCUGCCCACCACGUCAUGGCCACAUCUGAAGUGCUCUCAGUAAUAGCGACAAUAACCAGUGUGAAGGGCAACAACAGUGACUUCACGAGCAGAGUAGCAGCGUUUAAAGUGCUCACAAAAACAGCAACACCAUCCAGGAAGAGCUCCGAUGCUUCAAAAAGGCUGAAAACCCGCUCUGUUCUCUCCCACUGAGAUUAUAAAAAGUUACUGAGCAUUAUGAACAGACAUGCCAUGCACCUCGCUUUGGUCAUGCAGGAAAGAAAUAAAUCGGGAGUUCCAUGUACCGGCGUUGAAUGCAUAAAAAUAGCCAAGAGGUCCGAGUAUUUCAGAGUAUCUGCUCACUUUCAGGAAAAAAACGUGACCAUUCAUAUGAUUGCUUAGGCAUUGAAGCAUCUUUUUAGACAAAUAGGAAGCCAGCGAGCCUGUAGCGAUGUCAAGCAGCCCUAUUUUUAGAAGCAUGUGUCAAGGGCACAUGCCUAGAAAGCGCUUUCACUGCUUCAGCAGUUUACAGGAAAAACGAGGCAGACGAGCACAUGCGUACGUAGGGACAGAUGAGCCCGAGUCCCGUGUGGGAAUAAUCACAUGGGGCCGCUUCGGCCCUUCCAGGUGACUCCUGGGAGCAGUGCCAGCCUGACGCAGCCCCAGCGCUGCUCGGGUGACAAGGGACGGGAGCAGGCGCGUGGCACUCGGUCCCAGAGCGGCACAAGAGGGCUGGGGCAGCACAGGCUGAAAGCAAAUGGACUCAAUUACAUUCUUUCACAUGAAAAUUGAGUAUUAUGGGUAAGCAACAGGGUGUCUGCAAGAAAAAAAAAAAAAGGAAUCACUAUAAAAAGCUUUGUGUUCCCAGUUGUUUUCUAUUUUAGGUUCCACCUAUGAUAAUUUUCCAAACUGCUCAGUAGCUCUAGCAUCAGCUGUUCAGAACAGCCCAGCAAAUAUUUCAUCUGUGCGUGUGGAUGAAGUCUGCAGAGUCGCUUAAAGGAGGCAAGAAGCCUGAUCCUCUUGGCUCAUCCUGGAUCUUUCUAAGACUGUUCAGUGUCUCCAAACCUAGCCCACAGUGCCUAACACCAUAACGUACCUGUACAUAAUACUAUAAUUAAUACUGUAAUGUGUUAUCUGGUGGGUCUCAUUCAUUAAUAAAAAACAGUU